AAGUCGUAACAAGGUUUCCGUAGGUGAACCUGCGGAAGGAUCAUUAUCGAAUGAACAUGGGGAUCGGUUGUCGCUGGCUUCUUCAUUGAGGCAUGUGCACGCCUUUCUCUAUUCAUCCAACACACACCUGUGAACUUGUGAGACGGAUAGUAGUCUCUCUCUGGAUUUAUUUAUUUAAUUCCGGGGGGGACGAGGUCCGUCUGUCAAUAUAUAAACUCCAAUUAAAUAAAUCUGAAUGUAAUCUGAUGUAACGCAUCUAUAAACUAAGUUUCAACAACGGAUCUCUUGGCUCUC
rnacentral:misc_RNA from 1 species